rnacentral:piRNA from 1 species
UGGAGCUUGUGAACUUGGCAAAGUAGGAGGA